GAUGAACGCUGGCGGCGUGCCUAAUACAUGCAAGUCGAGCGAACGGACGUGAAGCUUGCUUCUCUGAUGUUAGCGGCGGACGGGUGAGUAACUCGUGUAUAACCUACCUAUAAGACUGGGAUAACUUCGUGAAACCUGAGCUAAUACCGGUUAAUAUUUUGAACCGUAUUGUUCAUAAGUGAAAGACGGUCUUGCUGUCACUUAUAGAUGUAUCCGCGCUGCAUUAGCUUGUUGGUAAGGUAACGGCUUACCAAGGCAACGAUGCAUAUCCGACAUGAGAGGGUGAUCGGCAACACGGGAACUGAGACAGGGAACAGACUCAGACGGGAGGCAGCAGUAGGGAAGAUGACGCAAUGGGCGAAAGCGUGACGGAGCAACGGCGAGUGAGUGAUGAAGGUCUGCGGAUCGGAAAACUCUGUUAUUAGGGAAGAACAUAUGUGUAAGUAACUGUGCACAUCAUGACGGUACCUAAUCAGAAAGCAACGGCUAACUACGUG
rnacentral:rRNA from 1 species